CCUACGGGAGGCAGCAGUGGGGAAUAUUGGGCAAUGGACGCAACCCUGACCCAGCAACGCCGCGUGAAUGAUGAAGGCUUUCGGAUUGUAAAGUUCUUUUCUCAGGGACGAAGCAAGUGACGGUACCUUACGAAUAAGCCUCGGCUAACUACGUGCCAGCCGCCGCGGUAAUACGUAGGUGGCAAGCGUUAUCCGGAAUGACUGGGCGUAAAGGGCGUGUAGGCGGUAUAGCAAGUCAGAAGUGAAACCCCCGGGCUCAACUUCUGAACUACAUUUGAAACUGUUGGGCUUGAGUGCCGGAGAGGCAAUCGGAAUUCCGGGUGUAGCGGUGGAAUGCGUAGAUAUAAGGAGGAACACCAGUGGCGAAGGCGGAUUGCUGGACAGUAACUGACGCUGAGGCGCGAAAGCGUGGGGAGCAAACAGGAUUAGAUACCCGAGUAGUC
rnacentral:rRNA from 1 species